rnacentral:tRNA from 1 species
UCGUUAUGAAGCUCUUCAGCGUUAGCCUUUUAAGCUAAAGAAGGGAAAUAAAACUUUCCCCAUAACG